UCGAGAAUUUUUCUCAAUGGGCGAAAGCCUGAAGGAGCGACGCCGCGUGGGGGAUGAAGGGAUUCGUCUUGUAAACCCCUGUCAUUCGCGAACAAACCCUUUUGUUUAAGAGAUAAAAGGCUGAUUGUAGCGGAAGAGGAAGGGACGGCUAACUCUGUGCCAGCAGCCGCGGUAAUACAGAGGUCCCAAGCGUUGUUCGGAUUCACUGGGCGUAAAGGGUGCGUAGGUGGCGGGGAAAGUUUGAUGUGAAAGCUUCGAGCUCAACUCGGAAAUUGCAUUGAAAACUAUCCCGCUUGAGGAUCGGAGGGGAGACUGGAAUUCUCGGUGUAGCAGUGAAAUGCGUAGAUAUCGAGAGGAACACCGGUGGCGAAGGCGAGUCUCUGGACGAUUCCUGACACUG
rnacentral:rRNA from 1 species